UUUGCUUCUCUCUCUUCCAGAUUAUUUCACAUAUUCUGACAUAACCCAAGAAAACAACAGAUGGCAACUUCAUCCAAGUGGGUGUUAUCCACUGGGACUGCAAAACAGGAGCUUGUUUUUCAGUAACUUCCUGCCUUUCAGGUUAAAAGUUGCAGAACUUACUGCGGUGCUCUAAUUUAGAGCAGCACUGGGCAACCCAGGAUAUGCACUGUCACCGCAGAAAGCAUCAAUACCUUGUUGAGAUGAGGAAGGCUUUUGUACCAGAUCCAGGAGGAUUGUGGCUUGGUUCCUGAUCCAUCUGCUCUGAAGAAGCACAGAACGUACAUCAGUGUCUUUGAAGUGCUCUCUGGUCAUGAAGGAGAAAUAAAGAGGGGAAAGUCUGGCUCAACC